rnacentral:misc_RNA from 1 species
UUUCCGUAGGUGAACCUGCGGAAGGAUCAUUACAGAGUUCAUGCCCUCACGGGUAGAUCUCCCACCCUUGAAUAUUUAUACCUUAGUUGCUUUGGCAGGCCGUGGAAACACCAUGGGCUCCGGCUUAUGCGUGCCUGCCAGAGGAAACAAACUCUGUUUUUAGUGAUGUCUGAGUACCAUAUAAUAGUUUAAACUUUCAACAACGGAUCUCUUGGUUCUG